rnacentral:lncRNA from 1 species
CACCCCCCAGCCCCUCGCCUCCGUCUCCCCGCCCGCCGUCCCCUUCUCCCUCCCCUUCACCUUCUCCCUCUCCCUCGCCUUCACCUUCGCCCUCCCCUUCACCUUCUCCCUCGCCUUCUCCCUCGCCUUCUCCCUCGCCCUCUCCUUCGCCUUCUCCAUCACCUUCUCCCUCGCCUUCUCCCUCGCCCUCUCCUUCGCCUUCUCCAUCACCUUCUCCCUCGCCGUCUCCUUCGCCCUCUCCUUCUCCAUCUCCCUCCCCUUCUCCUUCUCCUUCUCCCUCUCCUUCUCCUUCUCCUUCUCCUUCUCCCUCCCCUUCUCCCUCUCCUUCUCCCUCCCCUUCUCCAUCUCCUUCGCCCUCUCCCUCGCCCUCUCCCUCGCCUUCCCCCUCCCCUUCGCCCUCUCCCUCGCCUUCCCCCUCCCCUUCGCCC